rnacentral:rRNA from 1 species
AUUGAACGCUGGCGGCAGGCCUAACACAUGCAAGUCGAACGGUAGCACAGAGAGCUUGCUCUUGGGUGACGAGUGGCGGACGGGUGAGUAAUGUCUGGGAAACUGCCCGAUGGAGGGGGAUAACUACUGGAAACGGUAGCUAAUACCGCAUAACGUCUUCGGACCAAAGUGGGGGACCUUCGGGCCUCACACCAUCGGAUGUGCCCAGAUGGGAUUAGCUAGUAGGUGGGGUAAUGGCUCACCUAGGCGACGAUCCCUAGCUGAUCUGAGAGGAUGACCAGCCACACUGGAACUGAGACACGGUCCAGACGCCUACGGGAGGCAGCAGUGGGGAAUAUUGCACAAUGGGCGCAAGCCUGAUGCAGCCAUGCCGCGUGUAUGAAGAAGGCCUUCGGGUUGUAAAGUACUUUCAGCGGGGAGGAAGGCGGUGGAGUUAAUAGCUUCGUCGAUUGACGUUACCCGCAGAAGAAGCACCGGCUAACUCCGUGCCAGCCGCCGCAGUAA